rnacentral:rRNA from 1 species
CCAGAAGCAUUAAGAGAUGAGGUGUAAAGGUAAUUCCUUGUCAACAACCGUGCGACCUAACUAUUAAUGAGUGAGCGCUCUAAGAAGGUGAAAAGCCUGUUUGGUUGCAUCGGUUUGUCGACGCGGGUUGCCUAAGAGUCUAGUUGUUUGAGAGUACAACUUAAAGUUGGUGGUAAAUUUCAUCAAAGGCUAAAUAUGCUAAGGGACUAAUAGUGAACAAGUACCAUGAGGGAAAGUUGAAAAGAACUCUGACGAGAGAGUUCAACAGUACGUGAAACCAUAAUGAGUAAAACGGAUAAUCGCGCUGUAUCGUAGUGUAACUUUCAGCAGUGUUUCUGGUGUAAUGAGUAUUCGAGAGUGAGUUGCUUGGCAGCGAAGAUCUCGUGUUGAAGUGUGCCGGAAGCUUUGUGAUUUAGUUAUACACGUUCAUUGGGGGAUCAUACUGUCAUCACAUCGGCCGUGAAAUGUUCGCAUUUUGUGCGUAGACUGCGUUCAGGCUCUUAUGAACUGGUAUGAUUUAUCAAAAGCAAGUGGCGUUUACCGCAAACAACAAUUUUAUCUGCGAAGUGGUUAAUUCCUCUCUGUGGUGAACUCGUUGUCAAUGGUGAGCUACAAGCUUUCAAUGAUCAAGCGUUGAUUAUUCGACCCGUCUUGAAACACGGACCAAGGAGUUCAAAUGGCACGCGAGUCAACGGGUUUUGUUACCCGAAGGCGAAGUGAAAUGCAAACAUAUUGUUAUUUGUGGUAGUUCCAUGAGUAAAUGAUAAGCUACUCAUGCUUUCAGGCAUUUGUAGACUACAAGCGUGAUGUUUGAGACCCGAAAGAUGGUGAUCUAUGCCUAGUCAAGAUGAAGCCAGAGGAAACUCUGGUGGAUGUCUGAAGUUAUUCUGACGUGCAAAUCGAUAAUCUGAUCUGGGUAUAGGGGCGAAAGACUAAUCGAACCAUCUAGUAGCUGGUUCCUUCCGAAGUUUCCCUCAGGAUAGCAAGUGUACAUUGGUAGUUUCAUCCAGUAAAGCGAAUGAUUAGAGGUAUUGGGACAUAUGUAGUCUCAACCUAUUCUCAAACUUUCAAUGGGUGUGAGUUCUCUUUCUUAAUUGAAGAGUGACUGCUAAAUAAGUAUGCUUAGUGGGCCAUUUUUGGUAAGCAGAACUGGCGCUGUGGGAUGAACCAAACGUGGGGUUAAAGUGCCUAAAGCUCGAAUGCGCAUAAGAUCUACAAAGGGUGUUAGUUGCUGAAGACAGCAGG